rnacentral:lncRNA from 12 species
CUUUAAUUUGGCACCACUUUAUCACUCAGCUCUUCCCAGGUACCAGCUCUUGGUCUGGAGGGGUUUAAAAGCCAAAAGUUAUAAAUGCUGCCCCUCCUGCUACUGCCAAAUCCGAGCUGGGGGAGGUUUGGAUCAGCCUUCCUGGCUGCUCCCUCAGCCCUUGGUGAUGCAGGAGCCUCAGAGCAGCGUCUGGAGCAGGGAGGGAUGUUCCCCAGCUCUGCCCUGCAAGGCCAGGGGGAGAGACCAGUUCAGCUCCAAAUGUCCCAGUCCAGCCCAAUGUCCCAGUCCAGCCCCAAUGUCCCAGUUCAGCCAAAAUGUCCCAGUUCAGCUCCAAAUGUCCCAGUCCAGCCCCAAUGUUCCAGUCCAGCCCCUGAUGUCCCAGUCUAGCCCCAAUGUCCCAGUCCAGCCCCAAUGUCCCAGUUCAGCUCCAAAUGUCCCAGUCCAGUCCCAAUGUCCCAGUUCAGCUCCAAAUGUCCCAGUCCAGUCCCAAUGUCCCAGUUCAGCUCCAAAUGUCCCAGUCCAGUCCCAAUGUCCCAGUUCAGCUCCAAAUGUCCCAGUCCAGUCCCAAUGUCCCAGUUCAGCUCCAAAUGUCCCAGUCCAGUCCCAAUGUCCCAGUUCAGCUCCAAAUGUCCCAGUCCAGUCCCAAUGUCCCAGUUCAGCUCCAAAUGUCCCAGUCCAGUCCCAAUGUCCCAGUUCAGCUCCAAAUGUCCCAGUCCAGUCCCAAUGUCCCAGUUCAGCUCCAAAUGUCCCAGUCCAGCCCAAUGUCCCAGUCCAGCCCCAAUGUCCCAGUCCAGCCCCUGAUGUCCCAGUUCAGCCAAAAUGUCCCAGUCCAGCCCCAAAUGUCCCAGUUCAGCCCCAAUGGUCUCAGUCCAGCCCCAAUGUCCCACUUCCCAUCUAGCCCAAUGUCCCACUUCAGCCCAUGAUGUCCCAGUUCAGACCCAGAUGUCCCAGUCCAGCCCUAGAUGUCCCAGUUCAGCCCUAGAUAUCCCAGUACCCAUCCAGCCCCCAGUGUCCCACUCCUCAUCUAGCCCCAGACAUCCCAAUCCAGCCCCAAUGUCCCAGUUCAGUCCCAGAUAUCCCAGUUCAGCCCCAAAUAUCCCAGUUCAGUCCCAGAUAUCCCAGUCCAACCUCAGCCUCAAAUGUCCCAGUCCAGCCCCAGAUGUCCCAGUUCAGCCCUAUGCAGCCCCAGUUAUCCCAGUCCAGCCCCAAUGUCCCAGUCCAGCCAAAAUGUCCCAGUUCAGUCCCAGAUAUCCCAGUUCAGCCCCAAAUAUCCCAGUUCAGUCCCAGAUAUCCCAGUCCAACCCCAAAUGUCCCAGUCCAGCCCCAUCAGCCUCAAAUGUCCCAGUCCAGCCCCAGAUGUCCCAGUUCAGCCCUAUGCAGCCCCAGUUAUCCCAGUCCAGCCCCAAUGUCCCAGUUCAACCCCAAAUGUCCCAGUUCAGCCCCAGAUGUCCCAGUCCAGUCCCAAUGUCCCAGUCCAGCCCCAGUUAUCCCAGUUCAACCCCAAAUGUCCCAGUCCAGCCCCAAUGUCCCAGUCCAGCCCCAGAUGUCCCAGUCCAGCCCCAAUGUCCCAGUUCAACCCCAAAUGUCCCAGUUCAGCCCCAGUGGUCCCAGUUCAGCCCCAGUGGCCCCAGUCCAGCCCCAGAUGUCCCAGUCCCCUCCCAGCAGAGCUGUGAGUCUCAUUCAUCACUGCUCCCUCUCCCCACCCAGGUGCCCCAGGACGUGCCCAGCCCUCCCCAGCUGGGCUGCCAUGGCUCUGCCACAUUCCACACGUGGAUGCUCCCUGUCUCCACGGAGCACUGGGAUCAUCCCUGGCUUAUUCCCUGCUCCAAAGCAAACCAGCACGAGCCCCACGACUCAGUGCAGCCACCAGGCAAAAACAGCAGCUGGGGUGGUGGGGACAAUCAAAGGGACACUGUCUCCCAAAACCGAAAUGUCUGCAAACCAGCUCUCAGCCAGCACAGGGCCAAAAGAAAUGUUUCUUCCAUGGACUUAUUUAUUUUUGAGAUCUGAAAGGGAGCAGCUGCUGAGGACAAGUGGACAUUGUGCUGGAGGUUUGAGAAACGAGAUGUGGUGGCACAAAGACACUGAUGGUGGAGCUGCCAUCACUGAUCUGCAUUGUCCAGGCCAAGAGGCACUGAAUAAAACUUGAAUAAAAGCCAGGGGGAGUGAAUAGAAGGGAAUGGGGAGAUUCCCACUGCCCUUAAUGAGUUUUGGCUCUGAACCUACACAAAAAGACGUAACUAGCAGUGAAUAAACUGGAUUCUGGAAAUGCUUUCACCUUUGACAGGACAGGCUGGAAUUAGUAAAGUGCCAGAGGGAAUCUGUUUACCAGGCAGUUUUUUUUUUUCCCAAAGGUGGCUGUGUCCCACAUGGAACAGAAAGGCUGAGCUGUGAGUGUUGUCCUUGCAUGGAAAUCCCCCCAAAAAAUUCCAGGCUCCACCACCUUUUCCAGCCUCCUUUGUCCCCCUCCCACCAAGGCCAGCCCUGUUACCUGGGGGUGGAGGUGUCACACCGAGGAGAGCAGCUGUGAACAGCUCUGAACAGAAACAGAAAGUGCUUCAGGAAAAUGGGCACCUAAAUGAGCACCUGUCCCAAGGCUGUGGUGUUUGCUGUCGCUGGAAGGACCUGGUGCAGCCCUGGGGCACAGCAAACACGAGACAUUGGCACAGGGAAUUGGAAAAUUAAGAAAGGAAAUGCAAGGAGAGCUUACAGGCAGGGUUCGUUUGUCCAGCCCCUGCUCACCCCAGGGGUUGGGUGUUGAAGGAAAGCAGAAGGAUUUCAUAUUUCUCCAUCACCCAAGCCCUGGACAGAAUCUGAGGAGCCCGGGGUGGGCUUUGCAGGCAGGCAGAGCUGGAUGUGAGAGCUUUUCCCACCGAGGUCAAGGGAGUCAGUGCAAGGCCAGGAACAGCACCCAGGAGACAACAGACCCUCCUUUGUCCCCCACGAGUCCCCAGCCCAUUCUGCCCACGAAUUCCAGAGAUAAACACACAUUUCUUGGAUGCUCUUCCCCAA